CCAGCAGCCGCGGUAAUACGUAGGGUGCGAGCGUUGUCCCGGAUUUACUGGGCGUAAAGAGCUCGUAGGUGGUUUGUCGCGUCGUCUGUGAAAUCCCGGGGCUUAACUUCGGGCGUGCAGGCGAUACGGGCAUAACUUGAGUGCUGUAGGGGAGACUGGAAUUCCUGGUGUAGCGGUGGAAUGCGCAGAUAUCAGGAGGAACACCGAUGGCGAAGGCAGGUCUCUGGGCAGUAACUGACGCUGAGGAGCGAAAGCAUGGGGAGCGAACAGGAUUAGAUACCCUGGUAGUCCAUGCCGUAAACGGUGGGCGCUAGGUGUAGGGGUCUUCCACGACUUCUAUGCCGUAGCUAACGCAUUAAGCGCCCCGCCUGGGGAGUACGGCCGCAAGGCUAAAACUCAAAGGAAUUGACGGGGGCCCGCACAAGCGGCGGAGCAUGUGGAUUAAUUCGAUGCAACGCGAAGAACCUUACCUGGGCUUGACAUACACCGGACCGGUACAGAGAUGUAUCUUCCCUUUGUGGCUGGUGUACAGGUGGUGCAUGGUUGUCGUCAGCUCGUGUCGUGAGAUGUUGGGUUAAGUCCCGCAACGAGCGCAACCCUUGUCUUAUGUUGCCAGCACAUCUAUGGUGGGGACUCAUGAGAGACUGCCGGGGUUAACUCGGAGGAAGGUGGGGAUGACGUCAAAUCAUCAUGCCCCUUAUGUCCAGGGCUUCACACAUGCUACAAUGGUCGGUACAACGCGCUGCGAGCCUGUGAGGGUGAGCGAAUCGCUGAAAGCCGGCCUCAGUUCGGAUUGGGGUCUGCAACUCGACCCCAUGAAGUCGGAGUCGCUAGUAAUCGCAGAUCAGCAACGCUGCGGUGAAUACGUUCCCGGGCCUUGUACUCACCGCCCG
rnacentral:rRNA from 1 species